AUUUCUUUUACGUCUUUGUCUUGUGUAAUUGUUCUGGCUAGGCAAUUACACAUAAUGUUUUCAGCAUUUGUCAUCUAUUGUAGCACAUUGAUUGCUACUUUUCAAGUUGUAAACCUGGACAUUUAUCACUACUCUUCCUCCAGUACAGGAGUCCAUGGCGCGGUGUGGGCCCUACUGUGCCACAGUCCAUAGCACGGCUGGGCAGAGGUUCUCUUGUGCAAGAGUCCGCGGCUCUGUGGCGCAAAGAGUUCUCCAGUGCCUUAGUCCAGGGAGAGGCAGGGGUGGGGCUCCUUCAGUAGCUUAGUCCAAUGCGCUGCCCUGCGAGGGUCCUCUUGAGCAGGAGUACACGAUGCGGCGGGGUCCUACUGUGCCUUAGUCCAGGAAGCGGGGGACUGGGUCCUCUGGUGCCAUAGUCCAGGGCGCAAGGGGCUGGAUCCUCUGGUGCCAUAGUCCAGGGCGCAAGGGGCUGGAUCCUCUGGUGCCAUAGUCCAGGCUGCCGGGAGCUGGGUCCUCCGGUGCCGUAGUCCAGGCCCCCAGGAGCUGGGUCUUCUGGUGCCAUAGCCCAGGGUGCAGUGGAACAGGAGUCCUGCGGAGCAGUAGUCCAGGGCGCGCUGGGGCGUGGAUCCUGAAGUGCCACAGUCCAGAGCGCGACAGGGCGGGAUUCCUGCCUUGCUAUAUCCAGGUUGCAGCGGGGCGGGGGUUCUCUUCUGCAGGAGUCCAGGACGUGGCAGAACGGGAGUCCUCCAUGUAGGAGUCCUCCGGUGCUGGAGUCCAGAGCGCAGUAAGGCUGGAUCCUCCCGUGCCAUAAUGUAGGGCAUGGUGGGACAGGGAUCCUGCCUUGUGAUAGUCUAGUGCCUGAGUCCGCAGUAAGGCAAUGGUCCUCCAAUGCUGGAGUUCACGGCGUGUUGGGGGUCACGGUCCUUCAGUGACUUAGGCCAGGGGUACCAGGGCGGGGAUCCACAGUUGCCAUAGUGAGGACCUCUGAGGAGUCUGGUUC
rnacentral:lncRNA from 1 species